AACCAGAGUGUGCACAGUGUGUCAGAUGAACAUAUGAGACACUUUGACUCUUCAGUGCAGUGUGGAGCCUAACAAAGAUCUGUUUUGUGUCCCAGCUGAUCAGCAGGAGGAGAGAGAGUCUGACGGAGCAGCAGAGGAACAUUUUCAGCCUUGGACUCAGCUGAGCUCACUACAGAGAAACGAUGAGCUCAACACAGAAGGACCAACAUGGACCGAGAAGUCAGCGCUCUCAGGAGGCCGACAAACCUCACAGAAGAAAGAGAGAGAAAAAAUACAGCUGUGACGAGUGUGGGAAGGAUUUUUCUCGCAAAGCUUCACUAACAAUGCAUCAAGUCAUCCACACUGGAGAGAGACCGUUCAGCUGUGGAAAGUCUUUUCCCUGGGAUAGUUGCCUAAGAAAACACCAACUCGUCCACAGUGGAGUGAAAGCGUACAGCUGUGAUCAGUGUGACAGAGCUUUUGAUCGCAGUUGCAGCUUACAGAGGCAACUCUGGAACUAAGACAUAUAGCUGUGACAUUUGUGGAAAAACUUGGCGAGACAGCCGAAAUAGACACCUACGCAUUCACACCAGACAUGUUGUGUACUGGUGUGAUCAGUGUGGCAAACAGUUUAUAACAGAUGUACAGUUACAAAGCCACAUGUUUACCCAUGCUGAGGAGAAACCUUAUAAAUGUGACCUGUGUGAGAAGACUUUUAAAGCUCCACGUUACCUGAGACGACACCAACAGAUCCACACCAGAAAGAGACUCUACAAGUGCAGUUACUGUGACAAGCAGAGCGGUGCAGAUGGGUCCAGUUCUCAACCCUGUCAUCGCUGUGGUGGUGGGAAAACUUUUGUUGUGACCUUUGUGGAAAAUCUUUCAGUCAUGCAAAGAGCCUAAAAAUACAUCAACGUAGACACACUGGAGACAAACUGAAAUACUGCAAAGAAUGUAGGAGAAGCUUCACCAGAUCACAUGAGUUAAAACACCAUGAAGUCAUUCACAGUGGGGUUAAAAAGCACCUCUGUGAUCAGUGUGGGUCAUCGUUCACCACUGCAGGUGAGCUUAAAACACAAAAGAGUCCACACAGGAGAGAAACCAUACAAGUGCACACACGGUCACACACACACUGCUGUGACCGGUGUGACAAGACUUUCAGGAAUCUCAGUUCAUACUCCGAACACAAACGAUCCCACACUGCAGAUAAACUGUUUCACUGCUACAAUUGUGCAAAAACGUUCACUUCACUAUCUGUUCUGUGCAAACAUCAGCGUGAUCACGGUGAAUCUGGUGUCAGGGUCAGACUUAAAACUGUUGAGAUCAGGCUCCACAGAGUUCAGCUGGAACCGCAUGUUAAGAACUGAUGAGGCUGCUGUAAAUAUAAAUGUUCCUGCAGUUACAUCUUAAGCUUUCUAAACUCUUCUACUUUGCUCUUAUCGAGUGGUUAGCUUUUUUUUUUUUUUGUUGGAAGAAGA